GGCUAUGUAGCUAAGUGGCAGAGCACUCGCCCCGGCAAGCGAGAUACAUGAGGGUUCGAUUCCCUGUCUAGUCU
rnacentral:tRNA from 1 species